GAAUUUUGGACAAUGGGCGAAAGCCUGAUCCAGCAAUGCCGCGUGCAGGAUGAAGGCCUUCGGGUUGUAAACUGCUUUUGUACGGAACGAAAAGCUUUGGGUUAAUACCCUGGAGUCAUGACGGUACCGUAAGAAUAAGCACCGGCUAACUACGUGCAAGCCGCCGCGGUAAUCCGUAGGGUGCAAGCGUUAAUCGGAAUUACUGGGCGUAAAACGUGCGCAGGCUGUUUUGUAAGGCAGGGGUGAAAUUCCCGGGGCCCACCUUGGAAAUGCCUUUGGGACCGCAAGGCUAGGAUAAGGGAGAGGGGGGUGGAAUUCCGCGUGUAGCAGUGAAAUGCGUAGAUAUGCGGAGGAACACCGAUGGCGAAGGCAACCCCCUGGGCCUGUACUGACGCUCAUGCACGAAAGCGUGGGGAGCAAACA
rnacentral:rRNA from 1 species